AAACAAGAGUUUUGGUGAAAUUGUCAUUUUUCCAGGUAAUUUUUUGUGCACAAGUUAUAUUCACACAAUUUGAGGGUCAAUGGAAAAGUGAGUAUUGUGGAUCAGGCACCUCUUCUAGUCUUUGGUCUGACCAGAAGAGGAGGUCUCAGGAGGUUCAGAUCAAAUCGAACCUCAUCUACAUUUUGAAAACACUUUUUAAUUCUUACUUUUAUACUGAUUACAGGAUGCCAAACAAUAGAACAAAAGAAGAAGAAAGAGAAAUUAAAGAUAGAACAUCAUCUGUAAAGGUGGACACAGCCCAUGUACCGGACCAAAUGUGGAAAUCCGGUCCAAAGUCUACCAAAAGAUACUAUAAAACUAAACUCUGCACUAGGUUUGAGUUGGUUAAAGCUCCAGUCAUGGUCAAAUGUUUUGUCAGUGACAUAAAUGGCUGAAGGCGGUGGCAUGGUUGGAGCUAGGAGGCUCUGUGUUUGAUUCCCAGGACUGUUCUGUGUUGACUUUUAUGGUUUCUGGGUUACCUUCAGUUUUCCAUUCCAUCAAAGAGGUUAAUAGGUUAAUUCUCUUGUCAGUGCCCUUGACCACAGUACUGGAGUUGGUCUCCAUGGACCUUUAAUGGUAGCUCACUGCUGCUAAUCUUCUAAUUACUGAUGCUAAUGCUAGGUACUGUGGGUAAUAGGAUGGAUAAAAUACAGAAACUGCAGUGAAGCGAGUUAACCUUUAAAUUUUACUUUUGCAAAUGUUGCUGAUUCAAUUCCUUUCGAUUCAUAGUGAAUUAUUUAUUAUUUAAAAGACUUAUAUUGGCAAAUAGAUAUAUAACAUUUAGGCAAGUAGUCAUAUUUUUGUUACUGCAAAACUCUUUGGCCACAACUGCAGUCUUUAGGUUUCCCCUGUUUGUUGUGCUACAGUUUAUUUUCUACAAUAUAAUUUGUAAGGGUACAGUAAUUUUAGAGUUACAACAAUGAAUCAAUCAGUUUUAGAAUUAAUAAAUUUUUUUAGGUAUUUUCAAGCAAAUAUGCCAAUGGUUUGACAGCAGCCUAUCAAUCUUCUCAGCUCUGUUAGAAAAGGCAAUAAGGCAUUUAUUUAGGCAUUUUCCAGGACAUCAAACUGCUCCUUUAUUACCCUGUGUGCCAAUGAAGCAUGUUAUUAUUUUCACUCAUGGCUGUCUGUGUGUGGGAUGGGGCCACUAUAACACAAAUGCAUUUUAAACUUGUUUUUUGAACCAAGUGACUAUAAAAAAAUUGAUUUUUGUGCAUGUAGGUUAUGAAUGAACAAAAAGGGGCCCACAGUUCUUUUUUCCUCAUGCAGUGUUUGCAUCCGCAGUCAGAUGUGGAUCAUGGUGGUUUUGCGUCAGCUGCUCAUUAACUGAUCCAAAUGAAGUCUGGUUUAGAACACAGAGGUCUUGCAGGCGGUCUCUUUACAUGCACAGGUCAGGAGUUCGGUGUCCAUGCUCAGCGACAUGUUAUGACGCAACAAAGGGAAAGCGUUGGAGUCCUUACCCUCGGCCCGGACUCUGGAACCUGAGAUGGAUGAAUCCAGUAAAAUCUUAGAGAACGGCGGUGAGUCUCUCACUGAGCUGUUGUCCUCCGUGCGCGAACAGACCAGUUCUCGGAAACUCUCUCUGAAGCGUGUGGAGAGCAGGCUGUAGAUGAUUGGGUUGACUGCAGAGCUGAGGUAGAAGAGGACGCCUGACAAAAUGUGGACGUACUGAUAAAUGUUGUGCAUCAAGUCGGUCCACUGACUGAUGGAACUCCACAGGAGUCGCUCGAUGUGGAAAGGCGCCCAGCAGAGUCCAAAUACGGCCACCACGAUCGCUGGAGGAUCAGACAGAGAAGCUGAUUAACAAGGUUUUAUCUGAUUCAUAGUGGGAUUUUUGUUAGUUUUAUAGAUAGAUAGAUAGAUAGAUAGACUUUAUUUCUCCCAAACUGGAAAAUUACAGGGAAGACUGAAUGAUAAAAGGACAUCACAUACAC